rnacentral:rRNA from 1 species
AGCAGCCGCGGUAAUUCCAGCUCCAAUAGCGUAUAUUAAAGUUGUUGCAGUUAAAAAGCUCGUAGUUGAAUUUCGGGGUUAGUAGGUUGGUCAUGCCUCUGGUAUGUACUGGUCUCACUGAUUCCUCCUUCCUGAUGAACCUUAAUGCCAUUUAUUUGGUGUUUUGGGGAAUUUGGACUGUUACUUUGAAAAAAUUAGAGUGUUUAAAGCAAGCUAACGCUUGAAUACAUUAGCGUGGAAUAAUGAAAUAGGACGUUCGAUCCUAUUUUGUUGGUUUCUAGGAUUGACGUAAUGAUUAAUAGGGAUAGUUGGGGGCAUUAGUAUUCAAUUGUCAGAGGUGAAAUUCUUGGAUUUAUUGAAGGCUAACUACUGCGAAAGCAUUUGCCAAGGAUGUUUUCAUUAAUCAAGAACGAAAGUUAGGGGAUCGAAGACGAUCAGAUACCGUCGUAGUCUUAACCAUAAACUAUGCCGACUAGGGAUCGGAUGAUGUUAAUUUUUAUGACUCAUUCGGCGCCUUACG